AACGAACGCUGGCGGCGCGCCUAAUACAUGCAAGUCGAGCGAGAAGACGUAGCAAUACGUUUGUAAAGCGGCGAACGGGUGAGGAAUACAUGGGUAACCUACCCUCGAGUGGGGAAUAACUAGCCGAAAGGUUAGCUAAUACCGCGUACGCUCCUUGGACUUCGGUUCAGGGAGGAAAGCGAUACCGUGGGUAUCGCGCUCUUGGAUGGGCUCAUGUCCUAUCAGCUUGUUGGUGAGGUAACGGCUCACCAAGGCUUCGACGGGUAGCUGGUCUGAGAGGACGAUCAGCCACACUGGCACUGCGACACGGGCCAGACUCCUACGGGAGGCAGCAGUAAGGAAUAUUGCGCAAUGGGCGAAAGCCUGACGCAGCGACGCCGCGUGGGGGAUGAAGGCCU
rnacentral:rRNA from 1 species